rnacentral:rRNA from 1 species
GACGAACGCUGGCGGCGUGCCUAAUACAUGCAAGUCGAACGCUUCUUUCCUCCCGAGUGCUUGCACUCAAUUGGAAAGAGGAGUGGCGGACGGGUGAGUAACACGUGGGUAACCUACCCAUCAGAGGGGGAUAACACUUGGAAACAGGUGCUAAUACCGCAUAACAGUUUAUGCCGCAUGGCAUAAGAGUGAAAGGCGCUUUCGGGUGUCGUUGAUGGAUGGACCCGCGGUGCAUUAGCUAGUUGGUGAGGUAACGGCUCACCAGGGCCACGAUGCAUAGCCGACCUGAGAGGGUGAUCGGCCACACUGGGACUGAGACACGGCCCAGACUCCUACGGGAGGCAGCAGUAGGGAAUCUUCGGCAAUGGACGAAAGUCUGACCGAGCAACGCCGCGUGAGUGAAGAAGGUUUUCGGAUCGUAAAACUCUGUUGUUAGAGAAGAACAAGGACGUUAGUAACUGAACGUCCCCUGACGGUAUCUAACCAGAAAGCCACGGCUAACUACGUG